AUUUAUAUAGUAUAAAACAAUUAUAAUUGAUUUCCAAUCAAAAGAUCUAAUUUAGUUUAGUAUAAAUA
rnacentral:tRNA from 1 species